rnacentral:rRNA from 1 species
GAUGAACGCUGGCGGCGUGCUUAACACAUGCAAGUCGAACGGAAAGGCCCAAGCUUGCUUGGGUACUCGAGUGGCGAACGGGUGAGUAACACGUGGGUGAUCUGCCCUGCACUUCGGGAUAAGCCUGGGAAACUGGGUCUAAUACCGGAUAGGACCACUUCUUGGAUGUUGUGGUGGAAAGUUUUUUCGGUGUGGGAUGAGCUCGCGGCCGAUCAGCUUGUUGGUGGGGUAAUGGCCUACCAAGGCGUCGACGGGUAGCCGGCCUGAGAGGGUGUACGGCCACAUUGGGACUGAGAUACGGCCCAGACUCCUACGGGAGGCAGCAGUGGGGAAUAUUGCACAAUGGGCGCAAGCCUGAUGCAGCGACGCCGCGUGGGGGAUGACGGCCUUCGGGUUGGAAACUCCUUUCGCUAGGGACGAAGCGUUUUGUGACGGUACCUGGAGAAGAAGCACCGGCUAACUACGUG